AGUGAACGCUGGCGGUAGGCCUAACACAUGCAAGUCGAACGGCAGCACAGUAAGAGCUUGCUCUUACGGGUGGCGAGUGGCGGACGGGUGAGGAAUACAUCGGAAUCUACUUUUUCGUGGGGGAUAACGUAGGGAAACUUACGCUAAUACCGCAUACGACCUACGGGUGAAAGCAGGGGAUCUUCGGACCUUGCGCGAUUGAAUGAGCCGAUGUCGGAUUAGCCAGUUGGCGGGGUAAAGGCCCACCAAGGCGACGAUCCGUAGCUGGUCUGAGAGGAUGAUCAGCCACACUGGAACUGAGACACGGUCCAGACUCCUACGGGAGGCAGCAGUGGGGAAUAUUGGACAAUGGGCGCAAGCCUGAUCCAGCCAUACCGCGUGGGUGAGGAAGGCCUUCGGGUUGUAAAGCCCUUUUGUUGGGAAAGAAAAGCAGCAGGUUAAUACCCCGCUGUUCUGACGGUACCCAAAGAAUAAGCACCGGCUAACUUCGUG
rnacentral:rRNA from 1 species